rnacentral:rRNA from 1 species
UCGUAACAAGGUCUCCGUUGGUGAACCAGCGGAGGGAUCAUUACUGAGUUUACGCUCUACAACCCUUUGUGAACAUACCUAUAACUGUUGCUUCGGCGGGUAGGGUCUCCGUGACCCUCCCGGCCUCCCGCCCCCGGGCGGGUCGGCGCCCGCCGGAGGAUAACCAAACUCUGAUUUAACGACGUUUCUUCUGAGUGGUACAAGCAAAUAAUCAAAACUUUUAACAACGGAUCUCUUGGUUCUGGCAUCGAUGAAGAACGCAGCGAAAUGCGAUAAGUAAUGUGAAUUGCAGAAUUCAGUGAAUCAUCGAAUCUUUGAACGCACAUUGCGCCCGCCAGCAUUCUGGCGGGCAUGCCUGUUCGAGCGUCAUUUCAACCCUCAAGCUCUGCUUGGUGUUGGGGCCCUACAGCUGAUGUAGGCCCUCAAAGGUAGUGGCGGACCCUCCCGGAGCCUCCUUUGCGUAGUAACUUUACGUCUCGCACUGGGAUCCGGAGGGACUCUUGCCGUAAAACCCCCAAUUUUCCAAAGGUUGACCUCGGAUCAGGUAGGAAUACCCGCUGAACUUAAGCAUAUCAAUA